GGAAGAAAAAAAUUAAAUGCGUUUGAUUGAAAUCAAUAGUUGCUAUAGUACUAAGUAGUUAGUAGGAGGAAGCAAACAAGCAUGGGUUCUGUUUUCACUUGUUCACUUACUUUUAAAGUCGCACUGCCAAACUCAUUACAGUUUCCAUGUUCUUUGUUUCAAAGGUUUGUCCGAUACUCUCUUCUUCAUAAUGAAACACUACAUAUGUAACGUAUAUACAAAAGCUCUUUAAGUGAUUAAAAUUGUUUGGAACAUGACCAUAUCCAUUAGUAA
rnacentral:lncRNA from 1 species